rnacentral:rRNA from 1 species
AAACAUGUCUUUUUGAGUUGUAUUUAAAGUCUAACCUGCCCACUGAGUAAUUUUAAAUGGCCGCAGUAUUUUGACUGUGCAAAGGUAGCAUAAUCAUUAGUCUUUUAAUUGAAGGCUGGUAUGAACGGUUGGACGAAGUAUAAGCUGUUUCAUAUAAAUUUAUUAUAGAAUUUUAUAUUUUAGUUAAAAAGCUAAAAUUUUAUUAAAAGACGAGAAGACCCUAUAAAUCUUUAUAUUUAUUAUUAUUUAAAUUUUUUGGAUUUAUUUUGUUUUUAUAAUUUUAAAUAUUUUGUUGGGGUGAUGUUAAAAUUUAAUGAACUUUUAAUUAUUUAAAAUCAUUAAUAUAUGAAUUAUUGAUCCAUUAAUAAUGAUUAUAAGAUUAAGUUACUUUAGGGAUAACAGCGUAAUUUUUUUUGAGAGUUCAUAUCGACAAAAAAGUUUGCGACCUCGAUGUUGGAUUAAGGUAUAAUUUUGGGUGUAGCUGUUCAAAUAUUAAGUCUGUUCGACUUUUAAAUCCUUACAUGAUC